ensembl:lncRNA
ACGGAAUUGGAAAUUUUAAUGAGCGCGUAUGCCGAGCAGUUACCAAGAGAGAGCUUGGCCUGAAAUAGCUGAACAAGUCAAUGCAAUUGCCCCAAGAGGACUUGGCGGCAAAUGAAGAUGAAGUACAAAAAUAUAGUUCAAACAGCAAAUCGAAAAAAAGAAGAGGCCCGGAAGACUGGAGGGGGUCCACCUCUGCAGCCCUCACAGAGGCUGAGGAGAUGGCCCUCAGACAACAGAGUAUGCGUCAUGUGGCUGAGGGCAUCCCUGGGGGGAGCUCCUCUGAUCCCCCCCCACCCCCCAGGAUAGAAGUGCCUUUAUAAGAGUUACUGAUGGCGUCAUCGCCCUACUUGAACCAGAUGCCCUCACCAACCUCCAUGCAAUUGUAACAAUUCAAAAGAUGCAAAAGGAUGCUUUGGAGAUCCACAUUUUGGAACAUAAGUUAAAGCCCCUCCCCCAGCUGUCCUGGUGAUUCGCCACCCACUGAUUGACAGACCUCCUCUGGGUGAAAGCUGUGGGACAGGAGUGCAGAUCUUGGCUCAAGGCCCCCUCAUCAGUCAUGGAUUUGCGUCAUCUCCAUU